rnacentral:rRNA from 1 species
UAGGGAAUAUUGGGCAAUGGAGGGAACUCUGACCCAGCCAUGCCGCGUGCAGGAUGAAGGCGUUAUGCGUUGUAAACUGCUUUUAUAUAGGAAGAAAUAGUCCUUGCGAGGAAAGUUGACGGUACUAUAUGAAUAAGCACCGGCUAACUCCGUGCCAGCAGCCGCGGUAAUACGGAGGGUGCAAGCGUUGUCCGGAUUUAUUGGGUUUAAAGGGUGCGUAGGCGGUUUAUUAAGUCAGUGGUGAAAGACGGUCGCUCAACGAUUGCAGUGCCAUUGAUACUGGUAGACUUGAGUAUGAUUGAGGUAGCUGGAAUGGAUAGUGUAGCGGUGAAAUGCAUAGAUAUUAUCCAGAACACCAAUUGCGUAGGCAAGUUACUAAGUCAUAACUGACGCUGAGGCACGAAAGUGUGGGUAUCAAACAGGAUUAGAUACCCACGUAGUCCCUG